AGCGGCGGACGGGUGAGUAACGCGUAGGAAUGUGCCCUUUGGUACGGAACAACUGAGGGAAACUUCAGCUAAUACCGUAUGUGCCCUUCGGGGGAAAGAUUUAUCGCCAUUGGAGCAGCCCGCGUUGGAUUAGGUAGUUGGUGAGGUAAAGGCUCACCAAGCCUACGAUCCAUAGCUGGUCUGAGAGGAUGAUCAGCCACACUGGGACUGAGACACGGCCCAG
rnacentral:rRNA from 1 species